ensembl:misc_RNA Metazoa_SRP Metazoan signal recognition particle RNA
GCUGGGUGUGGUGGCGCACACCUGUAAUCCCAGCUACUCAGGAGGCUGAGGCAGGAGAAUUGCUUGAACUCAGGAGGCAGAGGCUGCAGUGAGCUGAGAUCACGCCACUGCACUCCGGCCUGGGCAACAGAGUGAGACUCUGUCUCAA